rnacentral:rRNA from 1 species
AUUGAACGCUGGCGGCAUGCCUUACACAUGCAAGUCGAACGGCAGCACGGGAGCAAUCCUGGUGGCGAGUGGCGAACGGGUGAGUAAUAUAUCGGAACGUGCCCAGUCGUGGGGGAUAACGCAGCGAAAGCUGUGCUAAUACCGCAUACGAUCUAUGGAUGAAAGCGGGGGACCGUAAGGCCUCGCGCGAUUGGAGCGGCCGAUGUCAGAUUAGGUAGUUGGUGGGGUAAAGGCUCACCAAGCCAACGAUCUGUAGCUGGUCUGAGAGGACGACCAGCCACACUGGGACUGAGACACGGCCCAGACUACUACGGGAGGCAG